GAUGAACGCUGGCGGCGUGCUUAACACAUGCAAGUCGAACGGGAUCGGCUGGAGCUUGCUCCGGCCGUGAGAGUGGCGAACGGGUGAGUAAUGCGUGACCGACCUGCCCCAUACACCGGAAUAGCUCCCGGAAACGGGUGGUAAUGCCGGAUGCUCCAGUUGGAUGCAUGUCCUUCUGGGAAAGAUUCAUCGGUAUGGGAUGGGGUCGCGUCCUAUCAGCUUGAUGGCGGGGUAACGGCCCACCAUGGCUUCGACGGGUAGCCGGCCUGAGAGGGCGACCGGCCACAUUGGGACUGAGAUACGGCCCAGACUCCUACGGGAGGCAGCAGUGGGGAAUAUUGCACAAUGGGCGCAAGCCUGAUGCAGCGACGCCGCGUGCGGGAUGACGGCCUUCGGGUUGUAAACCGCUUUUGACUGGGAGCAAGCCCU
rnacentral:rRNA from 1 species